rnacentral:rRNA from 1 species
UACAGAGGUCUCAAGCGUUGUUCGGAUUAAUUGGGCGUAAAGGGUGCGCAGACGGUUUGUUAAGUCACUUGUUAAAUUCCUCGGCCUAACUGAGGGUAUGCGGGUGAUACUGGCGAACUAGAGGAUGGAAGAGAGAAGUGGAAUUCUCGGAGUAGCGGUAAAAUGCGUAGAUCUCGAGAGGAACACCAAUGGCGAAGGCAGCUUCUUGGUCCAUAUCUGACGUUUCAUGCACGAAAAGCGUGGGGGAGCAAACAGG